UACGAAGGGGGGCUAGCGUUGUUCGGAAUCACUGGGCGUAAAGCGCACGCAGGCGGAUUGAUAAGUCAGGGGCGAAAUCCCGAGGCUCAACCUCGGAAUUGCCUUUGAUACUGUCUAUCUUCGAGUUCGGGAGAGGUUGGCGGAAUUCCUAGUGUAGAGGUGAAAUUCGUAGAUAUUAGGAAGAACACCAGUGGCGAAGGCGGCCAACUGGCCCGAUACUGACGCUCAUGUGCGAAAGCGUGGGGAGCAAACAGG
rnacentral:rRNA from 1 species